GAUGAACGCUGGCGGCGUGCCUAAUACAUGCAAGUCGAGCGAACAGACGAGGAGCUUGCUCCUCUGACGUUAGCGGCGGACGGGUGAGUAACACGUGGAUAACCUACCUAUAAGACUGGGAUAACUUCGGGAAACCGGAGCUAAUACCGGAUAACAUGUUGAACCGCAUGGUUCAACAGUGAAAGACGGUCUUGCUGUCACUUAUAGAUGGAUCCGCGCCGCAUUAGCUAGUUGGUAAGGUAACGGCUUACCAAGGCAACGAUGCGUAGCCGACCUGAGAGGGUGGUCGGCCACACUGGAACUUGGACACGGUCCAAGCUCCUACGGGAGGCAGCAGUAGGGAAUCUUCCGCAAUGGGCGGAAGCCUGACGGGGCAACGCCGCGUGAGUGAAGAAGGUCUUCGGGUCGUAAAACUCUGUUAUUAGGGAAGAACAAAUGUGUAAGUAACUAUGCACGUCUUGACGGUACCUAAUCAGAAAGCCACGGCUAACUACGUG
rnacentral:rRNA from 1 species